UAGCCUAGUGGUUAAGGCUAUGGAUCGUUAAUCCGGAGACGGCGGGUUCGAUUCCCGU
rfam:Aedes albopictus isolate Foshan contig70885, whole genome shotgun sequence.